rnacentral:lncRNA from 11 species
GUACCAUCUCUGCUUAUGAUUAGCUUUAUCCCUUUCAUUGUAUACACCAAGAAGUUAGCUGUUAUAUACAUACAAGCUUGCUCUAAAAUAUUUGGCUACUCUGAAUUCAUAACAGGCAUAAUACUUUUGGUGGGAACAGCACUGUGCCUUUUUCUUUUUGAAAGCUCCCCUUUAAGAGCACCAAAUGCACUCUGAGCCUCAUGCUUGCAGGAGGUGGGAGUCGGCAGAUAAUUCCACAUUGUAAUGGAAAGCAGCGUUCUUUUAAAGGGGGAAAAAAAGGCAGAAGGCUCUGGGCCCGAGUGGCAGUGGCAGCUUCUUUACAAACUCCAGCCAGAGCAUUUGGGAAGAAUUAUUCAUGUAAGGAUUUCUAUUUUCCUGGAUUGGAUAAUCUCCACCAUCUCCUACUGACCUCCGAGAGAUACGCCUCCUCUGCGUCAGGCAGGAGAAACAGUAAGCAGACGUUGAGUGCUUCACAGAGGAUGGCUCAGCCAAACACACCAGGUCUCCAACCAACACGACUACUGCCGAGGAACCUGCUCAUCCAGAUCCUCAUCCAGAUGCCCCCCCCCCCCCCCCACUGCUAUCUCAGUGACCACAACAAUACAACUAAUUGGGGAAACAAGUCAGGGAGAGAAGUGGAGAAACUCUGAGAAAAUAUGAUGCUAUGCUCCAUAGGGGAGGGAUGUACUGACAGAGCUUAAUGAGGAACAGGAAGCCAGUCAGAUGAACCCUGAGCAAAUUUUGGAAACACAUAACAGAAUCUCCAUUCAUGCUGGGUGCCAGGGACUGUGCAAUUGCCCUCAAGGGAGCAUAGGGCAAAGAGUGAGGGCAAAGAGCUAAACAAGGGCAAGGACUUCAGAUGGACUCAGGAUGAACCUGAACAAAGGCAUCUGUUGCUUGGCUAUGGGGAAUGAACAGAAACCUUCUUGAGGUUUUUUGCUUUUUGACUUGAAUUACAGAAAGCAGGCUGAGCAUUGUAAAACAUGAGCUUUCCAGAGUUAUCCAGGCAGAGAAUGAGGGAUUAUAUUGGGUAUUCAGGUGAUAUUUUAAUGGGCCCAUUCAUUUUAAGGAGAAUGGCUCAGGGUUGAUUCAUAUUUCUGACAGAUCCUUAAUUAACUAACUGAAAAAUGGAAAAGUAAAUUAAAGUGAAAUGUUUUAUUUUGUGUACAUGAAAUUAGACCAUCAGCAGUCCAAGGGUGUUAAAGUCGGAUGGCUUUUAUGAACCCUUGCUUUAGGAUUUUUAGUUUUAUGUUAAUACAGAUGUUUUAACGUUUUUCAGCACUGUCGAAUAUUUGGUUUUAUUAUGUAUUAUGUAUUAUUGUGAUGUUUGUAUUGUGUGUAUUUUAUAAAUGCUGUUAGCCACCUUGAGCCCUUGAGUGGGGAAAGGUGGGAUAAAAAUUGCCUAAAUAAAUAAAAUCUGGGCUUUACAUUGGAACAAGUGAUU